rnacentral:rRNA from 1 species
UACGUAGGGAGCAAGCGUUAUCCGGAUUUAUUGGGUGUAAAGGGUGCGUAGACGGGAAAAUAAGUUAGUUGUGAAAUCCCUCGGCUCAACUGAGGAACUGCAACUAAAACUGUUUUUCUUGAGUAUUGGAGAGGAAAGCGGAAUUCCUAGUGUAGCGGUGAAAUGCGUAGAUAUUAGGAGGAACACCAGUGGCGAAGGCGGCUUUCUGGACAAAAACUGACGUUGAGGCACGAAAGUGUGGGGAGCAA